AUGCAAAAUUAUCAAGACUUUCAUAAAAUUUUACAGUUGAACGAAAACCAUUUCAACAAAAGAGUAUAAGUACUGAGCAAGUUUCACAUUUGUCAAGUGGCAAUGGACAGAA